GUCCCUGAGAUGGCUAUGGGGCUGCCAAGCCUCGCGAGAAGCCUCCGUUAGGGCCGUGUCAACUGUAGCCAGUGGUUGCGGCUCCCUCAGUCUGGCGUCAUCUAGGUCGCUGCUCAGGGAAAUGCGGAGGCCAGUAGGCUUACGUGUUUACCGCGUAGGGCAAAGCCUUGCCAAAUUCCCGGCCAGCGGAGCGGCGAGGGUGGGGACUCACGGGAAGUUAAACAGCCUCGUCGGCGUCCUCGAGGCUCCAAAACCAGGCUCUAGGCGGGGACGACUGCAGCCGUUAUGGAGGCCACCGCGGCUACGGCCGCGGCUGAGGCCUCCCCAGGUGGAGCGGUGGCCUGGAGGGGAAUCUUGAUCCUGGGCCAGCCACCUGUCAAGAGGAGGCGGAGCGUCAUGCCUCUGGAAGACUGGAUGAAUAUUCUCCAGGAGCCUGACGAAGGCGGCCAUGCUGGAUAAGGAGCUGGCUGCCUCUGUGAACAUCCUACUCAAGGCAUCUUCACUGCUGUACAUCCUUUUGAAAUCCCAGAGAUCUUCAGUCUCCCUGUGGAUUAAGGAGAUGUGCAGUAUUUAAAGUGGCUUCAGGAAGGCAUGGAAGAGGACUGAGUGGGGAAAGCUUUUUGUGCAUGCUGCUGGCUACCUCCAGCGGCUGCCUCCAGCCUCCAUCAGCUGCACUCUGGGGAAGAGGAGGCUGCCUUCUACCUCCCAGCAUCUCUGGAUUUCAUGUUCCUGUCAGCACAGAGGAGCUAAAUGGCCUGUAGAGGCUGAAGGUCUGAGGCUCCUAAAGCUGGAAGAAAAGGCUGGGCCAGUCAGGCCAAGCAAGAACACAGUGUAACUUGUCUCUGAGUGCUUCAUGGUUAAGGGGGCUAAGCAGGCACAAGGGCAUGAGGAUGGUUAUAUGUACAGACUGAGGGGAAGAAGCAGUGAAGAUGAGACUUGCCAUCUUCUUGAGUCAGUAGGCCUGCCUCAGGUGCCUAGGAUGUAAUUGCUCUGCUGCUUCUCAUGGGGAGGAGUGGCCCUCAUGACCUUGUUUACCUGGAAGAGUGUGGGAUGAAUGCCUCCUCCUAUGGGGACUCGCAAGUGCUUUAGCAAAAGGAUAAAUUGCUAAUUGUGGCAUUUCGUGGAUCAGCAGGAUUAUUUCUCCUUGCUAAAGAGGAUUUUGUUGGUCCUGAAUUCUGAGGAGGUGGGACUAGGAAUGGGCUCCAUGAGCCUGUGUAUGACUCAGGGAAUAUUAGGACUUUGGCACAGCCUCAUGGGUUGGGAGUAAGUCUUGGCUCUUCCCUAGCCUGAAUGACAGACAUCAGAUCAUUCUGGUGCUUUGUCCAUGAAGAUGUAGAUUCUGAGCCCACCCAACUAAUCUUUUCACUUGAGCACAGAAACAGCCCCGGGAAUCGGACAGACCCGUGUCUUUCAGGUUUGCUUCACAGAGCCCCAGGGGUUGACAAUAGGUGCCUUGGAGACUGCCUGCAUGGGGAUUUUUAAAAAGCUUUCUUUGUUAAAGGUUUGUAAACCACUCCUCUGAGCCUGUUUUCAUUUUAUAGAUUAUUCAGGGAACUGAACUGCACAGAGAUCCAGAAAGUGGGUAGUGCAGGCUGUAGUGCUGAUAACUACUGUACUACUUGGAUCUUUGUGCUCCCAAAUACCAAAUGGAAGAGGAUCUCUGAGAGUCCUUUGCAAAGAUCUUGUAGGGACUUUAGGCUGGGGCCUUCGGAAAAUUCCAGAGGAUUCCAAUGGAGAUUUUGAGGGACUGACUCAGAAGAACAAAGAGAAUGAUAAUGGUGAUGUCCCUGCUUUUUACAACAGAUCAUGUUCUGAUAUAUAUGCAAAUCUGUGUAAAGUAAACCCUACCUAAAAUGUACUGGGGACCCAAGAUGGACUGCCUGUAUUGCUUCCAGGAUAAAGUCCAAUUUCUAGCUCUGGUUUUUAUAACCUUGCUUCAGCUCACCUUUUCCGUCAUCAUCCCCUCCAUCUCCUCUCCCACGCUGGGAAAUGGAUGGCUGCACUAUACUGUGUGAUGUUAUUGCUAUGUUCAUGCCAUCCCCUCUGCCUGGAAUGCCCUUCUGCAUGAAUGCCUGUGAAAUGUUGUUGCUCCUUUGUAUGGCCUGGCUUCCGUGGUUGGCAGGAAUCUCUUCUUUCGUGGUAUUCCUGUCAUCUUUGUGCAUCACAGUCAGCUUUGUAUUCCUAGCUUGUAAGCUACUUGAGGAUAGGGGCAUGUCUGAAUCUAUUUAAUCUCUUGCACCUGUUUGGCAAAUUGAUGUUUUAAGUAUUUAAAUAACUAAAGCUCUCUCUACAGUACAUACUCACUUUUGAUUUAUGAAUUGGCAAAAUUCAACUUUUUUCCUUGAAUAUUCUUAAAGUGAGAUGAAUUCCAAAGGAGAGUGUUCUGUGUGUGGCCUUCAUUGAGUGGUUUUCUGUUACCAGAAAGCUCUUGGUGGCCUUCCUCUUCCCUGGUGUCAAGGUUGACUGUUAUAGGAAAUGGGAGGGGAGAGGGCCGUUUCUGCCACGCAUUGUCCUAGGUUCUUAACAUUAUUUAAUCCUUAUAAUGCAAUGUUAUCCUCAUUUUACAGAUGAAACCUGAGACCAAAGAACAUGUAACACAUAAAGUACAUUGCAGAGUUAGGAUGUGAACCCAACUCUGAUUCUAAACCUAAUGCUCUCACUCUUUCAUUCAGAGGUUCAGUCAGUUCUUUGUAGGCUGUAGAUCCAGAGAAGCUGCCGUAGCCAACAAUGAAGUUGUUAGUUUUUAAAACA
ensembl:lncRNA CUTALP cutA divalent cation tolerance like, pseudogene